rnacentral:rRNA from 1 species
GACGAACGCUGGCGGCGUGCUUAACUCAUGCAAGUCGAACGGAAAGGCCUCUUUCGGGGGGUACUCGAGUGGCGAACGGGUGAGUAACACGUGAGUAACCUGCCCUUGACUUUGGGAUAACUUCAGGAAACUGGGGCUAAUACCGGAUAGGAGCUCCUGCUGCAUGGUGGGGGUUGGAAAGUUUCGGCGGUUGGGGAUGGACUCGCGGCUUAUCAGCUUGUUGGUGGGGUAGUGGCUUACCAAGGCUUUGACGGGUAGCCGGCCUGAGAGGGUGACCGGCCCCAUUGGGACUGAGAUACGGCCCAGACUCCUACGGGAGGCAGCAGUGGGGAAUAUUGCACAAUGGGUGGAAGCCUGAUGCAGCAACGCCGUGUGCGGGAUGACGGCCUUCGGGUUGUAAACCGCUUUCGCUCAUGACGAAGCUUUGUGUGACGGUAGUGGGUAAAGAAGCACCGGCUAACUACGUG